rnacentral:lncRNA from 1 species
GUUCGUGUUGCCAACAACACCUCCAGCACCAUCACAAUGAACACAGGGGUCCCCCAAGGAUGUGUGCUGAGCCCCCUUCUCUUCAAUCUGCUGACUCACGACUGCACCCCAACAUCAAGCUCCAACCUCUUCAUCAAGUUUGCGGAUGACACAACAGUGGUGAGUCUCAUCAACAACGGCGAUGAGACCACCAACAGAAGCGACGUGAACAGACUGGCUCUGUGGUGCAAAGACAACAAUCUCCAACUGAAUGUGGAGAAGACAAAGGAGAUGUUUGUGGACUUCAGGAGAACUCACACCCAGCACGCUCCACUGAUCAUCAAUGGUGCUGCUGUGGAAAGGGUGAGCUGCACCAAGUUCCUGGGGGUGCACAUCUCCGACGACCUGUCUUUGGACCUCAACACUGCGUCGCUGGCCAAGAAAACCCAACAACGCCUCGGCAAAUUGAAGAGGGCCACAUAUCCUCCCCCCAUCAUGCAGACCUUCUACAGGGGCGCCAUCAAGAGCAUCCUGACCAGCUGCAUCACCGUGUGGUACGGAGCCUGCACCGCGUCCUGCCGGAAGACUCUGCAGCACAUUGUAAAAACAGCUGAGAAGAUCAUCGGUGUCCCUCUCACUGGCCUCUCGGACAUUUAUCCUUCAGGCUUCACCCGCAAAGCCAUCAGGAUUGCAGGGGCCCCUCACACCCAUCCCAGAGUCACUUCCUCCUGCUGCCAUCAGGGAGGAGGCUGCAAAGUUUCCAGGACAGAACCAGCAGAUUCAAGGACAGUUUCCUCCAUCAGGCGAUAAGGAAACUCAACUCCCUCCCUACCCUAUCCCCUCUGCCCCCUCCACUCCCUGCAACAAACUAACACUGAAAAACUUUCACACCUGUUCAGAACAUAAUCUUCACCAAAGACUGCCAUCAUUGGCUCAUCUACCUACAGUUCUUAGCACUGUUGACACUUUAAACUGCCGCUUUAACCAUCUCAUUGUCCUUUUGCACUGUUAAGAUUGCUGUUAUUCUUCCUAAUAUUACUGUUAUUUUAUCUAUUUUAUUGUAUUAGUUUUAUGAGCUGCUUAGACUGUGGCGAGAGGAAAGUAAUUCCAUCUGUGCUGUAUGUCUUGUGUUUGUAGCAU